AGUAACUGCGAGUGAAGCGGGAAAAGCUCAAAUUUAAAAUCUGGCGGUCUUUGGCUGUCCGAGUUGUAAUUUAGAGAAGUGCCUUCCGCGCCAGACCAUGCAAAAGUCUCCUGGAAUGGAGCGUCAUAGAGGGUGAGAAUCCCGUCUUUGGCAUGGAUGCUUGGUGCUUCUGUGAUGCGCUCUCGAAGAGUCGAGUUGUUUGGGAAUGCAGCUCAAAAUGGGUGGUGAACUCCAUCUAAAGCUAAAUAUUGGCGAGAGACCGAUAGCGAACAAGUACCGUGAGGGAAAGAUGAAAAGCACUUUGGAAAGAGAGUGAAACAGUACGUGAAAUUGUUGAAAGGGAAACGCUUGAAGUCAGUCGCGUCGACCAAGACUCAGCCUUGCCUCGGCUUGGUGUUCUUCUUGGCUGACGGGCCAGCAUCAAUUUCUUCCCUCGGAUAAUGGCGAGAGAAAGGUGGCACCCUUACGGGUGUGUUAUAGUCUCUUGUCGCAUGCGAGGGAUGGGAUUGAGGAACUCAGCACGCGCCUUUAGGUGUCGGGGCUUCGGCCCACGUUACGUGCUUAGGAUGUUGGCGUAAUGGCUUUAAACGACCCGUCUUGAAACACGGACCAAGGAGUCUAACAUGCCCGCGAGUGUUCGGGUGGAAAACCCGUGCGCG
rnacentral:rRNA from 1 species